rnacentral:lncRNA from 1 species
UACAUUAAAGCCCGCUAUGUAUCAGACAUGCUUUGAGGCUUGAAACACAAGAUUCACAACAGAGGAUAAAACUAGAGAAAGAUAUUCUAGGUAAGAUCAACAGGAAGAACAAAGGUCUCCCAGCAAAAAUGCAUAAGCAUAAUGUUGUUUGACUGAUACAUGAAAUCUCCAUAUGAUUUUGAGGUGGUGAAAGUUCUAUUCCUGAUGGCCCCAAAUUCCUGCCCUAUCACCUGUUCUUCCUCUACGCCACACUUGCGCCUUGGUAACAGAACAUUCAAUGGGACUACAGUGAAAUUUGGGAGUCAUUGACAUAGCCAGCAAUGGAUACAAUGACUGUUGGAACUAUAUACAUCUCCUUACUGUUGGGAAAAGUGAGAAUUCCUCACCAGCAAGAAGGAUAGUUGUAUCUUAUAAGGGUGGAAAUACAGAGUUAUUUACUUGUUGUAUGAAAGUUGAAAUGUGUGUAAAAGGGUGUAUGGAAUCUGAGUUGUCAAAAGAAUAAACAAUGACAUUAAUUUAUUGCUUAUCUCAUAAUCGAUUAUGCAUUAUCUCCUGUGUAAUAAUGGAGCCA